rnacentral:lncRNA from 1 species
GAUGAAUUCCUAGAUUGGUUUCCAAUAUUUUUUUUUAUUAAUAUUAUUAUUACUAUUUUAUACAGAAAAGUAUUGGGUUUAACAUACCUCUUCUUUUUGCAUUACAGUAAUUUAUGCUUAGAAGAAAUACUACCUGCGUGUCCCACCAAACACAUAUUUGGAAAUGUUCGGGGUUGCUUAAGUACCCGCAAGGACUUGAAUGACAGAAAGUUCAUUUUUUCUCCGAAUGAACAUCUGAUUAGAGUAGCCCAUGCUUUACCCCCCUUUGGGAGACAUGCUGUCAGCCAGCAAAGCCGUGGUGGUCGUGGUAACUGUCAGUGCACAUCCAACAGCUGCUCUGUUACACAUUCCCUAACCUGGCAAGAGCUGCGCUGCUGAGAUUCUGCCGCUUUCCUCCACCCUGGCGUUGAGCUGCCGCGGCCCCGUACUUCCAGCAGGUAGGCUGGCGAGCAGCACUCGCUGCAGCUGCUCCUCAGCUUCCUUCGGCUGGUGCAUCACACGCACAAGGUCUCCCUAAGGUGCCUUCUGUGGCCUCGGCCCUGGAGACCCAACGUCACCUCUGUCAAGCAACCAGAGCUCCACAGCUGGAAGCCCGCAGGGGCCUCACUUGGUUGGCACUCAGAUUUUGCAGACAGUUGUACGCUGUGGCUUUUUGCUAUGCUGAUGGUAUAAAAUUAUUAGGAAAAACUGUGCUUAAGUGGACAUUUUGAAUUCUUUAGGCUCAAAGAAGGACUUGGUCUGCUGAAUAGAAGAUCAAUAGACUGGAUAGUGUAUGCUCCAGUGAUAGUAAAAUAACUCUAUCUGUACAGUUGUCUUGUUCUAGCUGGGCUGUAGCUGGGGCAGAACUUCAGCUACAUAAUACAGAAUUCAGUGCAAAUUAUGUUCAGUAGAUAGACAUCUUAAUCAUCACCUGAACAGUCAUUUUAAGUUUAAU